rnacentral:rRNA from 1 species
AGUGAACGCUGGCGGUAGGCCUAACACAUGCAAGUCGAACGGCAGCACAGUAAGAGCUUGCUCUUACGGGUGGCGAGUGGCGGACGGGUGAGGAAUACAUCGGAAUCUACUUUUUCGUGGGGGAUAACGUAGGGAAACUUACGCUAAUACCGCAUACGACCUACGGGUGAAAGCAGGGGAUCUUCGUACCUUGCGCGAUUGAAUGAGCCGAUGUCGGAUUAGCUAGUUGGCGGGGUAAAGGCCCACCAAGGCGACGAUCCGUAGCUGGUCUGAGAGGAUGAUCAGCCACACUGGAACGGAGACACGGUCCAGACUCCUACGGGAGGCAGCAGUGGGGAAUAUUGGACAAUGGGCGCAAGCCUGAUCCAGCCAUACCGCGUGGGUGAAGAAGGCCUUCGGGUUGUAAAGCCCUUUUGUUGGGAAAGAAAAGCAGCAGGUUAAUACCCCGCUGUUCUGACGGUACCCAAAGAAUAAGCACCGGCUAACUUCGUG